GCAGUGAAAAGCACGCUCCAUUUUCUGAUUCUCUACUAUACUUCCAAACUCCUUCCUUCCCACCUCGUCCCUUCCGCCCAAUAAAAACCCAGAACCCGAAACCCAGAACCCGAAACCCGAAACCCGAAAACCAAGAACAGUUGCAUCAAUUUUUUUUUUUUCACAGCACCUAAAAGCAAUUCCGAGCUCCCAACCACUGACGCUUUUUAUUCACUGCUAGACGACGUCGUCGGAGCACUAAGAGAAGGGAGGGGAGUUUUGGUAGAAUUUGUGGGAAGAGCAAGAGAGUUUGCUAAAAGUACCUGAAGAUGAGCCAAGCUGAUCAAGGGAUCAACCCUGAUGCCUCGUCAAACAUCCAUAUGAAGCGCAAACGUGGCCGUCCACGGAAAUAUCCAAAACUAAAUCUGGAAGAGGAUACUCGUGUGCCAAAUGCUCAGAAUCUGAACUCACGUGUGAAUGCUGGUAUUGGUAUUCCUCCUGUUCCUCCUGGAUUUGAUGGGAGGAACGAAUACCAGUCCCAUCAUGCAGCUCCAAAUAAUAGUACAACUGAUGUCAUGGUGGGAACAAUAGUUUCUGGUGUCAUUGAUGGAGCUUUUGAUGGAGGAUAUUUACUUAGUGUCAGGGUUGGCAACUCUCACACCACUUUGAGGGGCGUUGUCUUCAAGCCUGGACGUUACACUUCUGUCUCAGCAGAGAAUGAUGUGGCCCCAGAUGUUCAAAUGAUCAGGCGAAAUGCAAUUCCCAUUCCAGGUGAGAUUUACUCUCAUGUCCAUGGUCAGAAAUCUCGUUCUAGAGAUGUCAUCCGCUCUGUUCAUCACGUGGCUUCAAAAGGCAAACAUGUGCCCCCUGUGGCAGCCCAAACUGUUAAUCCACUAUUGUCCAGAGGAAACUUGUUGCCUGUUAUACUGCAACCUCGUAAUUUAUCUAAUGGGGUACCACUCACCGGUUCAUCUACUUCUGUUGCUCCAGUUGCUCCUCCGAAAAAUGGGUCGAUACCCACUAACCAGGUGCCACUCACCAGUGAACCAACUUCUGUCGCACCCCAAGCUGCAGAUCUGGCAACUUCAAGAGUUAAACCAGUUCCUCCAUCAAAUGGGUUGAUACCCUCCAACCAGAUGCCAAUAGUUGGAAAUCAGUCUUCAGUGUUCGAAGGUGAACAAAAUGAUGAUGGUACUUGUAAUCAACCAUCAACAGAGACGCUAAUUCAGGAAGAAGCCAAAUCAAUGAGACUCCCAGAUAUACCUUUUGAAAAAUUGGUUACUGAGGUAGUAAAAAGGAUUGAUAACCCCUCACAAGCCACCUUACAAUCAACUGAUAUUCACAUUGAGGGUAGCAAGUCAACUGGCAAUGAGAUGGAGAACGAUAUGGAUCAACCCCUAGUAAUUGAGCCUCUGCAAGCCAUACAGCCGAAAGGCCACUCUACACCAGUUUCAAAACCACUGGAGGACAGUAGAAAUGGCAAAAUGUCUGAGCUGUUGCAGGUUUUGCAGGAAAGCAUGAGGGAGAGGGAGGAGCCACAGGCUGAAGUGUCAACCACAGGUCCCAGACAGAAGUUGGAUGAACCAAGUUAACCUGUGAUCGGAAAUAAAAUCUGAUUGUUCACGAAAACCUUCUUAGGCUUCAAGUGUCUGAUUUUCUAGUAGCCACCUUGAAUGGGUAUUGUGUGCAUGCUUUGCUGAUGGACAUAAAGGCUUUGCAUGAUGGGAGGAGUUCACUAACCCAAAAAAGAGGAGCAAAGGCCAGUACAACAAACCUGAAAUGUAUAGGGAACAAGAGAACAAACUCAACAGGCUUUAGCAAACACCAGGAGAAAACCAAACCAAGCAAGCGGGAAACCAACCAAUAUUAAGACCAGAGACAUUAUUCAAAGCUCAACAAAACCAUGAAACCAAAUCUAAUGGAUCAAAUCACAAUCAGAGAAGGAUUGGUUCCAUCAAAAUAUGUUUGGGCUAUCUACUCAAGAAAAAAAAAAUGUUUGGGCUACAUCAUCCCAAACAUCCUUGGCAGUUCAAGAUGGAAGCAAAGAACCUACAACAGUAGGGGUUCCGGUUGCACCCCUUACUUCGAAUAGGAAAAAACUUGGCUCCUCGAAACAAGUUUGGACACAUGUAAUUCUUUUAACUUUUUUUUUUUUUUUUUUAAUCUUUUAACUCGUCUUUUGGAAUUUAACAUGAGUUAAAAUCCUAUUUGUUGCGAGGAAGAGUUCCGCCUCAGUUUUAAGGAGCCAAGCAAUGCUCCUUCGAAUAUGCAGGAUCAGUUGCAGAUGGUUGAGGGAAGAAUUAGUGGGAGAAUAUAACCUUAUGACCGUUGUUGCUUAUCGUCUGAAGUUCAAAUGAAAUAGGACAUGAAAAAUAGCCAAAGUUUGGGGGGGUUAAGUAUGGGUAAGAACUUUGGUAGAUAGAAGUGUCUUCUGGGAUGAAUGUUGGGUUAAGUAUGGGUAAGAACUUUGGUAGAUAGAAGUGUCUUCUGGGAUGAAUGUUUCGUUACGAAUAUGGGUAUAGAAGUGUCUUCUGGGAUGAAUGUUUCGUUACGAAUAUGGGUACUUUCAGUUAGAUUUGAUCGGUAGAAUAUGGGUAAUCUGAGGUAAUAUUGGCAAUUUAUAGCAAGUGGGCAUCGAAAUAGUAGUUUAAGAUUACGGUAAGAAAAAACAACUAAGGUAGAGGAAAAACAGUAGAUUACGUCAAGAAAGAAGGUAAGACCAACCAAGCAAUGAUGAGCCAGAGGGUAGGGAAAGCUGGCAGAAGGGUUUAGCUGAUGACAACAGUAGUAGUAAGAAACAAGAUUGUAAAAUUUUAUAUGGCAACCUCGCUCUGAUGCCAUGCAGAAAAUUUAAGUUGGAAAAUCAUUUUAUGA